AUUGUUACAUCACUUCCUAUCGUGUGCAGACUGGAUGAGGUUGGGCGUUGAGCGGAGAGAGAGGAGCCAGAGAGGAGCCAAGGAGGAUGCCAAAGCGGGUUCCGUUGGUUUUGUCCGUGCUUCCUCUACUGUUCAACAUCCUGUUCGUCUUGUCCCACUCUGCACAGACUCCAGGUUCUUCAAGCUCCGUGAACGAUGGUGAAGUUGUGAAAAUACUUGAAAAGAUUAUUCAACCAAUGGAGAGCUUACUGCAAGUCGGUUCUGAAGUAUCCCCACGCAGCAAGCCAAUGGUGCUGAACAACAAAUCAAAGUUGAGAAAAGUAGACAAGUACAUCAAGAUUAAGAAAAUCUUCUGGCCAUCUAAAGACAUCGGUUAUGUUUAUAAGCAGCAUUGGGGCAGUGGAACAGAACAUUCUUCAAUUCCUCCAUUUGACGACUUCGUGGAAAUAUUUGGCUGCGGUGAACAACCAGAACAAAAACUGCAACACUGUCUUGAUGAUGUAAAAGUCAUCUACAAUGUUUUCGUUGUCCUUACAAACAGUGUCCGCCAUGAGAAACUGCCACAAGCUAAGCGUGAACAAUCUCAGUAUUUGAUUCCUCAAAGGUUUCAUGAUUUUUUUCAAUCAUCUGUCUGUCAGAUUGCUCCCUUGAAUAAAGUUCCUCAAUGUCUUCGGAUCGCAAAACGCUUCCACAAAAGUUUGCUAUUCCUUGUCAAAACCUUUCAAUGUCAAAGCUCAGGCAUACCUCGUGAAACACCGACAAAACAGGAAGCUGUUGACACAUCAGGACAUCAUAAAAUGUUGACGAAAACACAAGCACCAAAUUCAACUUCACAUGUCCAGAUUGAGAUGCAGCCUGGUGCUUCCAAACUUUCUCCAUUUAUAAAUAUACACAGGUGGAUUCUUUGUGGAAAAACAUCGAACGUUCCCCCUUCAUUUCGAGACUUCUUGAAAUUAUUUGGUUGCAUGAAUAUUCCAAAGCAGAACGUACCACAAUGUAUUACACUCGCAAAAACGUUUUAUACUACCUUGAUUAUUGUCAAAAACGGUCUCAUGCGACAAGGUUCACCAAGAACAACAGCUGAUGAAGAGUUACAAAGUCAUGGAAAAAUGAAAACCGUUUCGUGCAACGAAGUGGCUCCAACUAAAAACAAUGAUGCAAUAACCUCAACAUCAACCCGCUCUGAACAGUUUGAACCGAACGUGACAAUAGGUUUGAAAAAAGAACUGCACUCGGAUAUGAAAGUCAGAAUUGUUGCUGUACCAACACUUAAUGGAUUGAUCGAGUUAUUUGGUUGUCGUGGAGCUCUGGCACACAGAAGAGAAGAAUGCUUUAAGAAUGUAAAAACAUUCCACAACAUUUUGUUUCAUUUGAAAAAUCAUCUUUCUCAUAAGCACGAGUCCACCGAAAAUAAAACACACUUAGCAGUUCAACAACAGGGUUUUGUCAAAACCCCACCUCAUGAAACUAUUUUGAUGAGUGUUAAAUAUGUCCCGUUACCUCGUAAGGUUUCAUCCAAAAUACUGCUAUUGCUACAAGUCCUUACAAAAACGGUGCGCUACUUUGUAGGAGAUGGGGAAGAGAAAAAAGACUGCAGAGAAGUAAAAGCGACAGCAAACGAUGGAAUACAAAAUGAAUCAAAAGAGUCCGUUUUGCCCACACCCUCUGGUGUCUGGUCUGGUGAUGUUAAGCAAUUUCAAUCUGCAAAUCUUCAUUUAGCAAAACAGACUUAUCCAGAGACGAACAACAAAACAAAAUUACGUGCAAAAAGUAAGAACUUGACGCAUCGCUCUCAUUCAGAGAUGAUGCAAGUGAAAGCUCCACAACUUGAUAAGCAGGGUUUGGUUACGACAGCUAAUGAGAUCACCAUUUCGUACAAUACAUCAACACCAAGUAUCAAAAGGAUAGAAAGAUUGUUUAACCUGUUAUCAUUCAACAACAAUAUCAAUAAGCAUCUCAUUCAGAAGGUCUCAUCCUCAAAUUGGAAUGACCUCAUGCUUUUAUCGCAGAGAUUACUGAAAAUAUGCCAAUAUUUUUUUCUUCUUGACCAAACUUUAGCCGACGAAGGAAAACACGAUUUUCCGAUACCGUCCAGUGAAAGCAAAAAUAUCAUUGAAAUAGAAAAAAGACACAAACAUUUAAAAUUGCCUUUACGAAGUUCGGUUCCCCGUUCACAAAAAUAUGUGUUCAAUUUGGAGUCCAUUUCGAAAGAGUUGAAAAAUAUGUGUCCGUCACUGUUGUCAAUGCACCACAAAAGCAUUCCCAGGACAAACGGUGUGCAAAAGAGUUACAUUACAUCGCAGAAACUGAAACUUAUAUCCAGCAGAACGCCAGCGAGGAAUCCUAAAGAAAGUGGAACAGUCACUUAUUUUAUGGUAGUAAGGCCAAAGGGGAGAGGAAGAGGUAUAAAUAAAGAAAAAUCUAAAGACCUGUCAACGAAGAUUUUAUUCCCGAAUAAACUCGGAGAAGCAAAUCCAAUUUCAAAAAAAACAGUGAAGUUGAAUUCUGCUUUUCAAAAUCCUCAGGCCAAUGUUUGGAACACUAUGAAGCCCAAAAUUAUUAUUGAAAUUGAUCUGCCAAAAAUGAUGAACAAAACAAUGAUAAACAUCCACUCAGAACGUCACAAUAACCAAGAGAAAGAAAUAACGGAUUUACAACCCGAGAAUCCUUCAGGUCAAAAGGUGAAACCUCCAAAUAGUAUUCCUUAAAAAUAUUCUACAGGGAAAAAAAACAAACAAUUACACGCUCAAAAAGAGAAAGUCCCAAAAACGUUUGGCUUCAUUUACUGAAAUGGUCAAAUCCCAUGAAAACUCGCAGGAUAAUUGAUGGCUUGGAAGAACAGCAGGAAACUAACCUUCAAUGACCAAUGAUCUUUUGUAAAUGUACAAAGAAAGGCAAGAUUUGGAGGACCAAUUUUCAGGAUCAACCCGCUAUGAAAGACCAAUGCUCUUUUGUAAAUGUACAAAGAAAGGCAAGAUUUGGAGGACUAAUUUGCAGGAUCAACCCGCUAUGAAAGACCAAUGCUCUUUUGUAAAUGUACAAAGAAAGGCAAGAUUUGGAGGACCAAUUUUCAGGAUCAACCUGCUAUGAACAGUUUGAGUUAAAAAAUAAGUUUCCGCUUCCAAUUUCAGUGGUACCUAAGGACAUGGAAGAAAAGGCUGGAAGUGCUUCAAACUCCACUGGGAACACGAACAACAGAGAAGAAGAAACUAUUACCAACUGUCGUCUCAUCUCGAGGAAAAAUAAUUUGAACAACAAUGACGAGGAUCCAAGCAACCAAAGAGGCAAUAUCACCAUCCAAAUGAUCAGAGCCAAUUGUUGGGCUUUGGCGUCACGGUCCUCGGUUAGAUUCUUGACUCGCUUGGAGAAAAUGCAGAUGAAUGUCAUAAUCACAAACACCCUCACAUUGAAAACUUGGACAGGUAAUAAAGCCCGUUUUGAUAUCACAAACCUCAAGCAAACGAAGGAUUCUGUAAUUCAGGAACCCUACGGACUCAAGGUUGGAGGAAAAAGCAAUGUCUGUGGGGAGAAAUCAUGCUCGGUAAGUAAUCUAAAACUAUCUUCCUUCCUUCACAUGUGCACAAAGGUACAUACAUAGAUCUUAUGGCUAUUUCAUGUCAUGAUGAUCCAAAUUGCAUUUCUUUUUCUUAAACAAGAUCUUGGCUCAUGGGAAAGUGACGAUGAGGAGAUGACUUGCAAUUUUCACCCAUCCACAUGUGGUUUACUUACUGAUCCUUGCUUGAGGGAGGGGGUAGUACUUGCCCCAGGCUCAAAAAAUUUUUGCCCCACCUCACCCCCCCCCACCUCAACCGCAGGCUGCUCCCAGAAGGAGUGGCUGUUUCUAUUAUACAAGAGUGGCGUGGUUGGGAUUACACGUCGUGGAGAAAAAGGUGCAUCCAACCAAAAAAAAGUAAUUAGAAAUACCGUGCUGUUCUAGUAAUAAACAAGCAAAAGCAGAUCCAUUCUCAUGUGGUUUCCCACUUCCCAGCAGGCUUCCUCAGGCCAAAAAUACCCCAGGCCCCAGCAGCACAUGUCCAGUUAAAUACCUUAAAACGUUGGCAUCAUAAAAAUCAUUUCUCAAUUGGCUGCUCGCAUAAGCACGUGACCGGAAACGAACGGCCGCAUCUCCGGAAUAAAAGCAGAUACAUUCUGAGGCCUGUUGGCCUGAGGAAGCCCGCUGGGAAGCAAAUGAAAUGUCACCUCGGCCAGAUCUCUCGCUUGUUUGUUACAAGACUAGCAGGGUGCCUUUCUCUGUGGUGAGAAGUGCACAUUUACCAAGGAAGGAUUGGCACUAAGAGGAUGCCCAGUCCUCAAGAGUUGGUUUCUGACAAUUGCUAUCUAUGUUUGUCACAUGAUUCACCUUUUUUCCUGCAAGCAUUAGUCCUCCAUGAUCUGUGUUCAGCUCAGCUUAGUGAGUCAUACUUUAUUACUGAGCACAUUAUAGAGUACUUGCAAAAGUACCCAUCCCCAGUGAUGGGGAAAGUUAAACUUAAUCUGUCAAUUUUAAUUAUUUCAUGGACGUCAAAAAGGAUGUUACACUUUGUUUCACUCACUCAGAGCCAAAGGUCUGAGCUACUUAUACUGUCCACCACAAAAUGGUGAAACAUCGGGCGGCAGAGGUUGGAUUUGUCUCAAAAAAAGAGGAUAAAAUAUUAAUAUUUUAAAAUUAAUGUGUGUUACUCCUUGAAGAUCUGGAUUAAAUCGACGUUAAUCCAGAUGGUGAUUUUAAAGAUCACUGGGAGGGACAAUAACUCUCUAUAUUGCAUAAAGAAAACUGAAAUGAAAAUGCAAAACAACCAAUGGGUGGCUUUUCAAAUGCAGCGCGGGCUGAAAUGGUCAAAUCCCAUGAAAACUCGCAGGAUAAUUGACGGCUUGGAAGAACAGCAGGAAACUAACCUUCAAUGACCAAUGAUCUUUUGUAAAUGUACAAAGAAAGGCAAGAUUUGCUGGACCAAUUUGCAGGAUCAACCCACUAUGAAAGACCAAUGCUCUUUUGUAAAUGUACAAAGAAAGGCAAGAUUUGGAGGACCAAUUUGCAGGAUCAACCUGCUAUGAACAGUUUGAGUUAAAAAUAAGUUUCCGCUUCCAAUUUCAGUGGUACCUAAGGA
ensembl:lincRNA